UUUAAAUAGAGACAAGGUUUCACUAUGUUGCUCAGGCUGGUGUUGAACUCCUGGGCUCAAGCAAUCUGCCUGCCUUGGCCUCCCAAAAUGCUGAAAUUACAUAGGGGAACCAUUGUGCCCCGUCAUUCAGCCUAUUAGUGACUUGGGUAAAGAUAGAGAACAGAGGUUUAUCUAAUUUGCACAUGACAUAAAACUAAUGUAUUGGAUAACAGAAUCUAAAUUCAAAGUGAUCCCAACAUACCUGAAUUUGGGACUAAAAACCCAGUAAUAGGCCAGGCGUGGUGGCUCACACAUGCAAUCCCAGCACUUUGGGAGGCUGAAGCGGGCAGAUCACUUGAGGUCAGGAGUUCGAGACCAGCCUGGCCAACGUGGUGUGAAACCGUCUCUACUAAAAAUACAAAAAAUUAGUUGGGUGUGCUGGUGCGCGCCUGUAAUCCCAGCUACUCGGGAGGCUGAGGCAGGAUUUUUUUGUUGGGAAUGAGGGCAGGUGGAAUUGAUGGAUGAUGAUGACGACGACGAUGACGUAGGAGAUCAUGACGAUGACCACCCCGGGAUGGAGGUGGUGCUGCAUGAGGACAAGAAGU
rnacentral:sRNA from 1 species